GUGGCUGCUCCGAAAGGGGGGCCAGGAGCACUGAUAAUGCUGAGGUCGCUGGUUCAAGUCCAGCUAGCCCCA
rnacentral:tRNA from 1 species